rnacentral:tmRNA from 2 species
GGGGCUGAUUCUGGAUUCGACGGGAUUUGCGAAACCCAAGGUGCAUGCCGAGGGGCGGUUGGCCUCGUAAAAAGCCGCAAAAAAAUAGUCGCAAACGACGAAACCUACGCUUUAGCAGCUUAAUAACCUGCUUAGAGCCCUCUCUCCCUAGCCUCCGCUCUUAGGACGGGGAUCAAGAGAGGUCAAACCCAAAAGAGAUCGCGUGGAUGCCCUGCCUGGGGUUGAAGCGUUAAAACGAAUCAGGCUAGUCUGGUAGUGGCGUGUCCGUCCGCAGGUGUCAGGCGAAUGUAAAGACUGACUAAGCAUGUAGUACCGAGGAUGUAGGAAUUUCGGACGCGGGUUCAACUCCCGCCAGCUCCACCA